UACGGGGGGGGCAAGCGUUGUUCGGAAUUACUGGGCGUAAAGGGCUCGUAGGCGGCCAACUAAGUCAGACGUGAAAUCCCCAGGCUCAACCUGGGAACUGCGUCUGAUACUGGAUGGCUUGAAUCCGGGAGAGGGAUGCAGAAUUCCAGGUGUAGCGGUGAAAUGCGCAGAUAUCAGGAAGAACACCCGUGGCUAAGGCGGCUCUCUAGUACGGUACUGACGCUGAGACGCGAAAGCGUGGGGAGCGAACAGG
rnacentral:rRNA from 1 species